GAUGAAGAACGCAGCGAAAUGCGAUAAGUAAUGUGAAUUGCAGAAUUCAGUGAAUCAUCGAAUCUUUGAACGCAUCUUGCGCUCCUUGGUAUUCUGAGGAGCAUGCCUGUUUGAGUGUCAUUAAAUUCUCAACUACACUGACUUUGAAUUGGUGUGGCUUGGAUUUGGGGGGAAAAUUGUUGUGGGCUUUUUGUAUAGUCUGCUCCCCUGAAAUUGAUUAGCGGUACCUUUGUGGAACUGUCUACAGGUGUGAUAAUUAUCUACAUCUUAGACAUCUGCUGGAAUGCUGCUUUCUAAACCUUACUUGUAUUGACAAUCUUGACCUCAAAUCAGGUAGGACUACCCGCUGAACUUAAGCAUAUCAAUAACGGAGGA
rnacentral:misc_RNA from 1 species